CUUCAUAGGGCAGCAUUCAUGCCGCCCACUGAAGUCUUGAGCGCACUACCACGCAUGCGCGUGGUGUUCGCGGGCUGAGCUGACUCUCAGCUCGCGGUCUUUGCCUGCCCCUUCUCUUCUGCUGACAGGCAGGAGAGAGAAGGUGCGCGCACACAGUGCUUUCUUUCUCCUGCACACGUCAGACGUAUCUUAAUACGUCUGACGUGUACAAGGCCUUUUUAGG